rnacentral:rRNA from 1 species
GAUGAACGCUAGCUACAGGCUUAACACAUGCAAGUCGCGGGGCAGCAUGGGGGUUGCUUGCAAUCCCCGAUGGCGACCGGCGCACGGGUGAGUAACGCGUAUCCAACCUGCCCUUCACCACGGGAUAACCCGGCGAAAGUCGGACUAAUACCGUAUGUUGUCCAUUGACGGCAUCCGAUUUGGACGAAAGGUUUGGCGGUGAAGGAUGGGGAUGCGUCCGAUUAGCUGGACGGCGGGGUGACGGCCCACCGUGGCGACGAUCGGUAGGGGUUCUGAGAGGAAGGUCCCCCACACCGGAACUGAGACACGGUCCAGACUCCUACGGGAGGCAGCAGUGAGGAAUAUUGGUCAAUGGGCGUAAGCCUGAACCAGCCAAGUAGCGUGCAGGAUGACGGCCCUAUGGGUCGUAAACUGCUUUUAUGCGGGGAUAAAGUGGCCCACGUGUGGGUUUUUGCAGGUACCGCAUGAAUAAGGACCGGCUAAUUCCGUG